rnacentral:sRNA from 1 species
UAUGGUUGCAGACACAGACAUUGCAAGACCAAGGGCACAUUGUAGCUCAUCAAUCACCAGACACUGACACUCCUUUUGUUCCUGAUGCAACUCCACAAGGGGACACAUCAAUAAAUGUGUUGGCUCAUACAAUAUCUUCGGAUGCAGCUUCACCAAAAAUGUUUGCUUCGCCUGAAAUAUUUGCAGGCUAUCCUAAAGCUGCUCCUCGCAAGCAAACCAACAGAGGUGAAAAAGCGUGGAAAAUGUAUGCUUGCGACAUCAUCACCAAUGAUGGAGGAAAUAAAAUUGAAGCAUUGCGUUAAAUCUGGAGAUAAAUCCAAUGUUAAAAAAAACAACUAUUUGAUACUGAUAUGACUGAUGAUAGGACAGAUAGUAUUAGUGACAGCAGCGACAGUAGGGAUGAAAGUAUUGAUGUCAGAAUGGAUGGUGUCGAAAGUGUGAAUGUUAACGACUAUGUUUUGUGUGAGUUUGAGGUAGGAAAGAAAACAAAAUAUUUAGUUGGUUAUGAAAGAAGAAGAUGAGGAUGGUGAUAUUGAAGUUUCUUUUUUGCGAAAGAGUGGGAAAAUGGUUGACAAGUUUUUUUGGCCGACUGUAGAAGACAUUGGGACAGUCAGAAUAGGACAAAUUAAAACAAUUUUGCCACCACCAGUAAAUUGCAAAGGCACAAAAAGAACAGAAAGAUAUAUCUCAUUUGAUGUCUCUUUAAAAAAAAAAAAAUUCUAUUAAUUUCUUUAAAGCUUCUUGUGUAUUCCACAGGUGGUCCAUUUCUCCCCCAAAGCCGGUCCAUUUCUCCCCACAGGUGGUCCAUUUCUCCCCAUAUUGGGGUGGUAUUUUUUAUUUUAUUUUUUUUCUUAUGUAUGAUAAUAAUUUUUUUUUAUAGACUAUAUUUUGAAAUAAAUGGUUACUUUAUUGUGAGAAAUAUAACAAA